rnacentral:rRNA from 1 species
UACGUAGGGUGCGAGCGUUAAUCGGAAUUACUGGGCGUAAAGCGUGCGCAGGCGGUUAUGCAAGACAGAUGUGAAAUCCCCGGGCUCAACCUGGGAACUGCAUUUGUGACUGCAUGGCUGGAGUGCGGCAGAGGGGGAUGGAAUUCCGCGUGUAGCAGUGAAAUGCGUAGAUAUGCGGAGGAAUACCGGUGGCGAAGGCGGCAUCCUGGACCGAGAUUGACGCUGAUGAGCGAAAGCUAGGGGAGCAAACGGG